UACCAGCACCCCGAGUGGUCGGGACGAUUAUUGGGCCUAAAGCAUCCGUAGCCGGUUCUACAAGUCUUCCGUUAAAUCCACCUGCUUAACAGAUGGGCUGCGGAGGAUACUAUAGAGCUAGGAGGCGGGAGAGGCAAGCGGUACUUAGUGGGUAGGGGUAAAACCCGUUGAUCCAUUGAAGACCACCAGUGGCGAAGGCGGCUUGCCAGAACGCACUCGACGGUGAGGGAUGAAAGCUGGGGGAGCAAACCGG
rnacentral:rRNA from 1 species